GUAUAUCUCAUUAAGUAACAAAUAACUCAUUUCCAGAUAUUCCUAUGUCUUCCUUCUAUCCCUGAACAUCUGUAGUCUAACUUUUCUCUUUUUCACCAGAGACUCACCCCAAAAAAUCAAGGGCCUCAUCAGAUGAAAUUUUUGUUUUUAGAUGUGCUAUCAAUUCUCCUUUACUUGAUAUAAAAUUUAAUGAGAUCUUACAUUUUAUUCAUCAAAUGGUUCCAAUAGGCAAAGAAUUCAGACAUAGCAAUUUCAAGGGGUACAACGAUGGCAUGAAUCACUUCAAAAAUAUCAUCUGAUGAAGGUGUUGGUACUUUGGAGCUAUUCUCUAGUGAAGAAGAUAAAUGUGAGACUAUCGAUAUCCAAGGUUAGAGAGGAGGUGAUGGCAUACACUGGAGAAAGGUAGUUAAUCUUGCGCUGGCAAUUCAUUUUUUCGAACUUCGAUUCGAUUUUUUGUUUUUCGUUCAUGUAUUCGAAUAACGAAACAAAUUAGAUUCGAAUUUUUAGUAUAAGCAUGAUUAAUGGAAUAUUUUUCUUCUUAUAAAAUGGGCUAUUAUAAUUAAAAAUGAGUUAUUUUAAGUUUUGUGUACCAAAGUUUUAUUUUACUCUAUAUUAUAAUAGUA